rnacentral:rRNA from 1 species
UAGCGGAGGAUCCAAGCGUUUAUCCGGAAUUACUGGGCGUAAAGAGUUGCGUAGGUGGCAUAGUAAGUCAGUAGUGAAAGCGUUCGGCUCAACCGGAUACACAUUAUUGAAACUGCUAAGCUAGAGAAUGAGAGAGGUAUCUGGAAAUUCCCAGUGUAGGAGUGAAAUCCGUAGAUAUUGGGAGGAACACCGGAUGCGUAGGCAGGGUACUGGCUCAUUUCUGACACUAAGGCACGGAAAGCGAUGGGGAGCCAAAC